rnacentral:rRNA from 1 species
GAUGAACGCUGGCGGCGUGCCUAAUACAUGCAAGUCGAGCGAGCAGACGAGGAGCUUGCUCCUUCGACGUUAGCGGCGGACGGGUGAGUAACACGUAGGUAACCUACCUAUAAGACUGGGAUAACUUCGGGAAACCGGAGCUAAUACCGGAUAAUAUUUCGAACCGCAUGGUUCGAUAGUGAAAGAUGGCUUUGCUAUCACUUAUAGAUGGACCUGCGCCGUAUUAGCUAGUUGGUAAGGUAACGGCUUACCAAGGCAACGAUACGUAGCCGACCUGAGAGGGUGAUCGGCCACACUGGAACUGAGACACGGUCCAGACUCCUACGGGAGGCAGCAGUAGGGAAUCUUCCGCAAUGGGCGAAAGCCUGACGGAGCAACGCCGCGUGAGUGAUGAAGGUCUUCGGAUCGUAAAACUCUGUUAUUAGGGAAGAGCAAACGUGUAAGUAACUGUGCACGUCUUGACGGUACCUAAUCAGAAAGCCACGGCUAACUACGUG